CAUGCAAGUCGAACGAACCUUCGGGUUAGUGGCGGACGGGUGAGUAACACGUGAGAAUCUGCCUUUAGGAAGGGGAUAACAUUUAGAAACAUUUGCUAAUACCCUAUAUGCUUUACGGUGAAAGAAUUGAUUUGCCUAAAGAGGAGCUCGCGUCUGAUUAGCUAGUUGGUAGGGUAAAAGCCUACCAAGGCGACGAUCAGUAGUUGGUCUGAGAGGACGGCCAGCCACAUUGGAACUGAGACACGGUCCAGACUCUUACGGGAGGCAGCAGUGAGGAAUUUUCUGCAAUGGGCGAAAGCCUGACAGAGCAAUACCGCGUGAGGGAUGAAUGCCUACGGGUUGUAAACCUCUUUUCUCAAGGAGGAAGAUAUGACGUUACUUGAGGAAUAAGCAUCGGCUAACUCUGUGCCAGCAGCCGCGGUAAUACAGGGGAUGCAAGUGUUAUCCGGAAUUAUUGGGCGUAAAGCGUCUGCAGGUUGAUCUAUAAGUCUUUUGUCAAAUCUUUAGGCUUAACCUAAAAACAGCAAAAGAAACUAUUUAUCUUGAGUAUGGUAGAGGUAAGGGGAAUUUCGAGUGGAGCGGUGAAAUGCGUAGAUAUUCGAAAGAACACCAAUAGCGAAGGCACCUUACUGGGCCAUUACUGACACUCAGAGACGAAAGCUAGGGUAGCAAACGGGAUUAGAUACCCCGGUAGUCCUAGCUGUAAACGAUGGAUACUAGAUGUUGCGUACUUUACAGUAUGCAGUGUCGUAGCUAACGCGUUAAGUAUCCCGCCUGGGAAGUAUGCGCGCAAGCGUGAAACUCAAAGGAAUUGACGGGGGCCCGCACAAGCGGUGAGCAUGUGGUUUAAUUCGAUGCACACGAAGAACCUUACCAGGACUUGACAUGAAGAGAGUUUUUGAAAGAAAAAUGUGCUACGGCCUCUUACACAGGUGUGCAUGCUGUCGUCAGCUCGUGUCGUGAGAUGUGGUAGUCCCGCACGAGCGCACCCUUGUUAUCUCUAGAGAUCCCGGGUACGAGCUCGAUCGU
rnacentral:rRNA from 1 species